AUUAGCCUGACAGAAGGGCGGGAUGUGUUUCGCUGGAACCUUACUACAUCAGGGUCUUUCACCGUAGACUCUAUGUAUUGUGCACUCACGCAUUCUGAGGUACCGGUGAGUAAUAGUAAGAAAAUUUGGAGAUCGAAGAUACCACUAAAAGUUAAAGUCUUCAUGUGCUAUCUUCGUAAGGGAGUUGUUCUAACCAAAGACAACCUCGCACGGCGCAAUUGGCAAGGGAGUAAGAAGUGUUGUUUUUUACUCAUGAUGAGACCAUCAGACACCUCUUUUUCCAAUGCAACUUUGCAUGUUCUACAUGGCCAGUCAUCCAAAUAG
rnacentral:rRNA from 1 species